UGCUUGCACCUGGUGGCGAGUGGCGAACGGGUGAGUAAUACAUCGGAACAUGUCCUGUAGUGGGGGAUAGCCCGGCGAAAGCCGGAUUAAUACCGCAUACGAUCUACGGAUGAAAGCGGGGGACCUUCGGGCCUCGCGCUAUAGGGUUGGCCGAUGGCUGAUUAGCUAGUUGGUGGGGUAAAGGCCUACCAAGGCGACGAUCAGUAGCUGGUCUGAGAGGACGACCAGCCACACUGGGACUGAGACACGGCCCAGACUCCUACGGGAGGCAGCAGUGGGGAAUUUUGGACAAUGGGCGAAAGCCUGAUCCAGCAAUGCCGCGUGUGUGAAGAAGGCCUUCGGGUUGUAAAGCACUUUUGUCCGGAAAGAAAUCCUUGGUUCUAAUAUAGCCGGGGGAUGACGGUACCGGAAGAAUAAGCACCGGCUAACUACGUGCCAGCAGCCGCGGUAAUACGUAGGGUGCGAGCGUUAAUCGGAAUUACUGGGCGUAAAGCGUGCGCAGGCGGUUUGCUAAGACCGAUGUGAAAUCCCCGGGCUCAACCUGGGAACUGCAUUGGUGACUGGCAGGCUAGAGUAUGGCAGAGGGGGGUAGAAUUCCACGUGUAGCAGUGAAAUGCGUAGAGAUGUGGAGGAAUACCGAUGGC
rnacentral:rRNA from 1 species